rnacentral:ncRNA from 1 species
GAACGCCGUGUGAUGGGAAACUAUCAAGCACGGUGUGAAGCGGGGGAAAAGAAGGAGAUCACAUCAAACUCUU